UUUCCGUAGGUGAACCUGCGGAAGGAUCAUUAUUGCAUAACCGAGGUGCGAGGGUUGUCGCUGACACGAAUGGUCGUGGACGCCCGAGUGUCCCCACACAGAUUCAUCUCACCACUAUGUGAACCAACGCGUGGGUUCUUUCUUGGACUGUCUGGAGGGGGGUUUUCGUUUCAACACAAACUUUGUAUGCAGUGUAGAAUGUAUUUGUUGUUUAUGUCAUCAGGCAAUCAAAACAAACUUCAACAACGGAUCUCUUGGCUACAACAUCGAAGAAGAACC
rnacentral:misc_RNA from 1 species